AACAUCGCGCACCUGCGGGAACCUGCGGAGGGAUCAUUACAAGUGACCCCGGUUUACCACCGGGAUGUUCAUAACCCUUUGUUGUCCGACUCUGUUGCCUCCGGGGCGACCCUGCCUUCGGGCGGGGGCUCCGGGUGGACACUUCAAACUCUUGCGUAACUUUGCAGUCUGAGUAAACUUAAUUAAUAAAUUAAAACUUUCAACAAUGGAUCU
rnacentral:misc_RNA from 1 species